UCCUGUCUGUCUGUACAACACCCAGACCUCUAUGGUUCACUAGUGGCUAGCUCUGCCCUCUAAUCUUCAGACAAGCUUUAUUUGUUAGAGUAUAAACAAGGUAUCACCACAGACAGAAAUAGUCAACAUUUGGCAAUACUGUGGGAACUACUAGUUGAAAAUCAUUCAAAGAUUCAACAUUAGAUGUGCCUAUACUAUAUUCCUUUUGAUAAUAUCAUUAUACAGUUGGGGUUUUGGUAACAGCUGUAAUUAAAAGCAAGCACCAUAUAAAACUCUAUGCAGAACUUUAAAUGAAGUUGGUAUAUCUAAACUGGUCUAACUUUCACAAGCUCUGAAGCCUUGGCUGUUUUGAGAAGUUGUUCAAUACCCAACAGGUGAAUAAAAUUAUGUAUAUACAUUAUAUAUGCAUAAAUGUAAAAUGACUACUAGGCCAUUAGAAGAUAAUUUUCUUAAGUUGUUUGGACCUAAAUACUCAAUAAAUGGAACUGAUAGGUAUAUCUUUUGGUCUAGAAAACCAGGCCAAAAGCUGGGUGUUGUGGUGCACACCUUUAGCCCCAGCACUAGGGAGGUAGAGGCAGUCAGAACUAUGAGUUCAAGGCCAGCCUGGUCAGAGAAAGUUCCAGGACAGCCAGGGCUGCACAGAGAAACCCUGUCUUGAAGAUCCAGAAAAAGAAAACCAGGUCAAAGUUACCAAGCAAGGCAGCUCUAAAACAACAAAAGUGGAGGUGGGUGUAGUGGUUCAUGUCCAUAAUCACAGCAUUUGGGAGGCUAAGAAAGAAGGAUUAUAAAUUCAAAACCAGCCUUGACUGCAUCUUAGAAGGAAAUACUAGCAAGACUCUGUAGGCUUCUCUCUUUACUGAUGCUUCCUGGCCAACUUCUUGCCAGGGCUAAUACUGUAGGACCCAAAUAUCCAGUCCUCGUUAUGCUGUGCUUUCCCAGUAGUUGCUGGAGCUACUGUUUAAAAUCAGAUCAUUUCUUUAAAACCAUCUUCUGGAUUCUUACUGCUUUUGGAAUAAUUUCAAAAUAUUGACCAUGUCCUGUGAAGUUUUGCAAAAUUAACCCAGUAUUCCUUUGGCUUUAUCACCUAAUCAUCUUCAUUUCCUCUUCUCUCUCUCCAAUUAAUAUUCUUUUUAAUGGGCAAACCAUACUUCCAUAUAUUUAUAAGGUUCAACAUGAUAUGUGAAUAUACAUUAAUAAUACACAAAGAUUAAAUCAGGCAGAUUAUUCAUGGUUCAUCAUUUUCUGGUAAUGAGACAUUUAAAAUUUAGUAGCCUAGUCAUUUUGAAAUAUGUAAUGCAUUAUUAUUGACUGUGGUCACCUUGUUGUGCAAUUGGAUUUCAAACCUCAUUCCUUUUGCCUACCUCAAACGUUAUAGCCUUUGACCAGCAACUUAUCAUUUGUUGCAGAAUAUUCCUGUGCACUGUGUGAAAAUGUAUUGCUGUUAUUGGUGUAAUAAAGAGCUUAAUGGCCAAUAGCUACAGGAUUUUUUGAAGCACAGAGAAUGCUGGGAAAAAGGGUGGAGUCAAUAGCCAAAUGAAGAACAAGCAGCAUGAACAGUACAUAGAUGAGGUAUUUUUGAUGCUGCUGGUAUAUAGACCAUGCCUUGAGAACCAUUUGAUAAAGGGUCUGACUUCCUGGGAGCCUAACAAGAUUGUACCACCAUCUCUGAAUGAUGAUCAAUUACAUUAGUGCUGAAGCUCAAACUCGGGGUUCUAUGCCUGUCAAGAAAGCAUCCUAACCAUUGAAUUACAUCCUGCCCUCUAUAUCUUUUUCUAAAGCAAAGGUUUGUUUAUUCUAAUUAAAAAACCAAAUACUACAAACAGAAUAAAAUAUAAACAGAGCUACUAAGACACACAUCACACUUUAGGGUACUAUAUUUUAAAACAUAUAUUCAGUUGAUAGUGAAUGUUAUUAUUUUAAAAUGUCUUUAAUGACAAAUAAGGUUAGAUGUAUAUUUUCAAUUGUAUUUUUUCUGAUUUCAUUGUAGAUAUCCCCUUUAAUAUUGCUUAGCUUACAUUUACCAGUUUAUUAGAAUAAAUUUAUAUUAAAUAUAUUAGGAAUAUACAUGUUGCACACACAUGCAAACAGAACACUUACACAAAAUAAAAUAAACAGUUGAAAAAUUUCAGAGCGCUAGACAGUUUACAGUUGUUUACUUUGGUAUUAUUUAAGGGCACAAUUAAGAUGAGGAAUUUAAGGUGGAAAUCCGAAUCACUUGAAUUUCAGCAUUUUUUUUUCCCCUCUGAAGGAAAGAGAUUCUUGUAAGGGGAAAUAAGUAGAGGAAAGCAUCUGCAAAAAAUACAUUUUGCACAAGAAUAAAACAGUUCCUGCCACUAAGAUACCUAAAAAUAUAACAAGCAGAGACUUAAAGGUCAUCUGAGUGCAUGUGCUCAUUUCAAAUAGAGAAGACGUGGCAUUCUGAGCUACAUAGUUAAUGCAAGAGACGAGCUCUGAAGACAAGGUCUUCAAAUCCUUGACCCACUGCUCUUUCACUAUACAAAUUUCACUCCAACAAGUGAGCACAAGCUUCAGAGGGAGAGGCAUUUGGGAGAAGGAUAGGAUUUCCCCCCAAGUGUAAAGAUCCCUGCAGAAGCAUCAAUGAGUCAUACUGUCUGCUGCUGAGACCCUUUGAAGGAACACCGGAGAAAGAAGACAGAGGGUGAAGGUGUGUGGAGUGAGAAAUGGGCUUCGGCAUUGACAGUGACUGGCAACAAAUGCUUCCUUCAUGAAGUGUGGAUUCUGAAGCAAGAGGAUGAGGGGUGGUGUUUCAGAAUAUUAUUUAAGAUGUGUUACAUUUGUUUAUGCUGUGGAACAUUUGCUUUAAUGAUGCAAAGAUGUGUUGCAUUCUUU